CUACAGCUAAUACCGCAUGACACCUGAGGGUCAAAGGCGCAAGUCGCCUGCGGAGGAGCCUGCGUCCGAUUAGCUAGUUGGUGGGGUAAAGGCCUACCAAGGCGACGAUCGGUAGCUGGUCUGAGAGGAUGAUCAGCCACACUGGGACUGAGACACGGCCCAGACUCCUACGGGAGGCAGCAGUGGGGAAUAUUGGACAAUGGGCGCAAGCCUGAUCCAGCAAUGCCGCGUGGGUGAAGAAGGUCUUCGGAUUGUAAAGCCCUUUCGGCGGGGACGAUGAUGACGGUACCCGCAGAAGAAGCCCCGGCUAACUUCGUGCCAGCAGCCGCGGUAAUACGAAGGGGGCUAGCGUUGCUCGGAAUGACUGGGCGUAAAGGGCGCGUAGGCGGUUUGCACAGUCAGACGUGAAAUUCCCGGGCUUAACCUGGGGGCUGCGUUUGAUACGUGCA
rnacentral:rRNA from 1 species